rnacentral:rRNA from 1 species
CCUACGGGUGGCAGCAGUGGGGAAUAUUGCACAAUGGGGGAAACCCUGAUGCAGCGACGCCGCGUGAGUGAAGAAGUAAUUCGUUAUGUAAAGCUCUAUCAGCAGGGAAGAAAAUGACGGUAACUGAGUAAGAAGCCCCGGCUAACUACGGGCCAGCAGCCGCGGUAAUACGUAGGGGGCAAGCGUUAUCCGGAUUUACUGGGUGGAAAGGGAGCGUAGACGGCAGUGCAAGUCUGGAGUGAAAGGCGGGGGCUCAACCCCCGGACUGCUAUGGAAACUGUACGGCUGGAGUGCAGGAGAGGAAAGUGGAAUUCCUAGUGUAGCGGUGAAAUGCGUAGAUAUUAGGAGGAACACCAGUGGCGAAGGCGGCUUACUGGACUGUAACUGACGUUGAGGCUCGAAAGCGUGGGGAGCAAACAGGAUUAGAUACCCGUGUAGUC